GACGAACGCUGGCGGCGUGCUUAACACAUGCAAGUCGAACGAUGACGACCGAGCUUGCUCGGUCAGAUUAGUGGCGAACGGGUGAGUAACACGUGAGCAACCUGCCCUUCACUCUGGGAUAACCUCGGGAAAUCGGGGCUAAUACCGGAUAUGAGCUCCUGUCGCAUGGCGUGUGUUGGAAAGUUUUUCGGUGAAGGAUGGGCUCGCGGACUAUCAGUUUGUUGGUGAGGUAGUGGCUCACCAAGGCGAUGACGGGUAGCCGGCCUGAGAGGGCGACCGGCCACACUGGGACUGAGACACGGCCCAGACUCCUACGGGGGGCAGCAGUGGGGAAUAUUGCACAAUGGGCGAAAGCCUGAUGCAGCGACGCCGCGUGAGGGAUGACGGCCUUCGGGUUGUAAACCUCUUUCAGCAGGGAAGAAGCGAAAGUGACGGUACCUGCAGAAGAAGCGCCGGCUAACUACGUG
rnacentral:rRNA from 1 species